rnacentral:misc_RNA from 1 species
AUAUGUGAAGUUUCUCAUAUUGCUUAAACAGACAAAUAUAAGCUCUAGUGUAACCUUGUUUUUUCAAGAACAUCAAAAGACUGAUCAGCCAGACAUGAUAAGUAGAAAAAUGCUACAGCUGCAUACCCGUAUUAAACUUUGAUAUUUCAGCUUGGCCUUAAUUAUUGGAAACUAAUCACAGGCAUUUUGACGUUAAUCCGCCCAAAACAAAAAAGAGUUACCCAAUAACAUCACAAAAUCCCAGGAUACCCCAGAUGGAAACCACACUUAGGAGGCCUUUGGUGCCUUGUCUGGUAGGCUACUAUCAGGCAGGACAAGCUCUGGAGGUGUUUCACUAACACCCAACAUAGAGUCAUACUCCUCAUCCUUGCGCGCUAGUUUCUUUCGCAGCACCUUCUCAAAUUCAAUCUUAUCCAACUCUUUUGCAUUUUCAGCUGCAUGAACCUGCGCUAAAUUAGAAUAGUUUGCGGCUGACUCUGAGAUGAACGCUAUUUCUUCUUCUGUGAGCUUCCUCAAGAACCUCGCUGGAUUUCCUCCCCAGACCUCUCCGAAUGGAAUCCUUGUAUUCUGUCUUACAUGGGCACCAGCAGCGACCAUAGCAUUUUUCUCCACAACAGCUCCAUCAAGCACGGUUGCACCCAUACCAAUAAAUGCCUCGUCUUCAACAGUACAUCCAUGUAACACAGCGCUAUGACCUAUGGUAACAUUUUUGCCAAUUAUCGUAGGCAAAACCUUUCCACUGAUAUUCGAUUUAGCUACAUGGAUUAGAGAAUUGUCCUGGACAUUAGUUCCGGCUCCAAUGCUGACACUGUUCACAUCACCUCGCAGAACACACCCAUACCAAAUAGAAGCACUACGACCAAUGUGAACAUCACCAAUUAUAGAGGCACUUGGGGCCACAAAUGCAUCUUUCUCAACAACUGGUACUUUGUCAAACAGGUUCAUCAAAGUUCUAUGCCGCCUCCAGGGAAACUAUUACUUCCAAGAACACCUCUCGAGGCAUAGAACUUU